CCUACGGGGGGCAGCAGUGGGGAAUAUUGCACAAUGGGCGCAAGCCUGAUGCAGCCAUGCCGCGUGUGUGAAGAAGGCCUUCGGGUUGUAAAGCACUUUCAGCGGGGAGGAAGGCGGUGAGGUUAAUAACCUCAUCGAUUGACGUUACCCGCAGAAGAAGCACCGGCUAACUCCGUGCCAGCAGCCGCGGUAAUACGGAGGGUGCAAGCGUUAAUCGGAAUUACUGGGCGUAAAGCGCACGCAGGCGGUCUGUCAAGUCGGAUGUGAAAUCCCCGGGCUCAACCUGGGAACUGCAUUCGAAACUGGCAGGCUAGAGUCUUGUAGAGGGGGGUAGAAUUCCAGGUGUAGCGGUGAAAUGCGUAGAGAUCUGGAGGAAUACCGGUGGCGAAGGCGCCCCCCUGGACAAAGACUGACGCUCAGGUGCGAAAGCGUGGGGAGCAAACAGGAUUAGAUACCCUAGUAGUC
rnacentral:rRNA from 1 species